AGGCCUACGGGGCGCAGCAGUGGGGAAUAUUGCACAAUGGGGGGAACCCUGAUGCAGCGACGCCGCGUGGGUGAAGAAGUCAUUCGUGACGUAAAGCCCUAUCAGCAGGGAAGAAAAUGACGGUACCUGACUAAGAAGCCCCGGCUAACUACGUGCCAGCAGCCGCGGUAAUACAUAGGGAGCAAGCGUUAUCCGGAUUUAUUGGGUGUAAAGGGUGCGUAGACGGGAAAUUAAGUUAGUUGUGAAAUCCCUCGGCUUAACUGAGGAACUGCAACUAAAACUGAUUUUCUUGAGUACUGGAGAGG
rnacentral:rRNA from 1 species